UAGGGAAUCUUCGGCAAUGGACGAAAGUCUGACCGAGCAACGCCGCGUGAGUGAAGAAGGUUUUCGGAUCGUAAAACUCUGUUGUUAGAGAAGAACAAGGACGUUAGUAACUGAACGUCCCCUGACGGUAUCUAACCAGAAAGCCACGGCUAACUACGUGCCAGCAGCCGCGGUAAUACGUAGGUGGCAAGCGUUGUCCGGAUUUAUUGGGCGUAAAGCGAGCGCAGGCGGUUUCUUAAGUCUGAUGUGAAAGCCCCCGGCUCAACCGGGGAGGGUCAUUGGAAACUGGGAGACUUGAGUGCAGAAGAGGUGAGUGGAAUUCCAUGUGUCGCGGUGAAAUGCGUAGAUAUAUGGAGGAACACCAAUGGCGAAGGCGGCUCUCUGGUCUGUAACUGACGCUCAGGUGCGAAAGCGUGGGGAGCAAACAGG
rnacentral:rRNA from 1 species